rnacentral:rRNA from 1 species
GGAUUAGAUACCCUGGUUAGUCCACGCUGUAAACGAUGUCGAUUUGGAGGUUGUGCCCUUGAGGCGUGGCUUCCGGAGCUAACGCGUUAAAUCGACCGCCUGGGGAGUACGGCCGCAAGGUUAAAACUCAAAUGAAUUGACGGGGGCCCGCACAAGCGGUGGAGCAUGUGGUUUAAUUCGAUGCAACGCGAAGAACCUUACCUACUCUUGACAUCCAGAGAACUUUCCAGAGAUGGAUUGGUGCCUUCGGGAACUCUGAGACAGGUGCUGCAUGGCUGUCGUCAGCUCGUGUUGUGAAAUGUUGGGUUAAGUCCCGCAACGAGCGCAACCCUUAUCCUUUGUUGCCAGCGGUUCGGCCGGGAACUCAAAGGAGACUGCCAGUGAUAAACUGGAGGAAGGUGGGGAUGACGUCAAGUCAUCAUGGCCCUUACGAGUAGGGCUACACACGUGCUACAAUGGCGUAUACAAAGAGAAGCGACCUCGCGAGAGCAAGCGGACCUCAUAAAGUACGUCGUAGUCCGGAUUGGAGUCUGCAACUCGACUCCAUGAAGUCGGAAUCGCUGUAAUUGAAUACGUUUCCC